rfam:Paenibacillus sp. FSL H7-0331 NODE_80_length_12039_cov_0.880653_ID_12267, whole genome shotgun sequence.
UCGGUCGCGAGGCCGAAUCUGAAGGAAACCGGAGGCACACCCUCGGUCUGACGAACAGAAAUCACAUAGAAGGCAUGAUGAGACGGACGAGCUUGCCAAAGAAAAGUCCCAUACUGACCGAACCUCAUCAUGUAGAUGUGGCAGAUAGAUGAGGGGAAAAUUAUUGCU